rnacentral:rRNA from 1 species
AACGCUGGCGGCGCGCUUAAUACAUGCAAGUCGAGCGAGAACCUGGGCUUCGGCCCUGGGGACAGCGGCGAACGGGUGAGUAACACGUGGGUAAUCAACCCUCGACACUGGGAUAGCCCGGGGAAACCCGGAUUAAUACCGGAUACCCCAUCUGGCCUUCGGGCCGGCUGGAAAAGGUAGCUUCGGCCUCCGGUCGGGGACGAGCCCGCGGCGGAGUAGGCUUGUUGGUGGGGUAAUGGCCCGCCAAGGCGACGAUCCGUAGCUGGUAUGAGAGGAGGCGCAGGCACACUGGGACUGAGACACGGGCCAGACUCCUGCGGGAAGCAGCAGUAGGGGAUCUUGCGCAAGGGGCGAAAGCCUGACGCAGCGACGCCGCGUGAGGGAAGAAGGCCUUCGGGUUGUAAACCUCUUUCAGGAGGGACGAAGCCACUCGGGUUAACAGCCCAGAGGGUGACGGUACCUCCAGAAGAAGCCCCGGCUAACUACGUGCCAGCCGCCGCCGUAAGAC